rnacentral:rRNA from 1 species
UGAUUAAAAGGGACACUUGAGGGCAUUAGUACUUUGUGGCGAGAGGUGAAAUCCUUUGACCCACAAAAGACUGACUACUGCGAAAGCAUUUGCCAAGAAUGUUUUCAUUAAUCAAGAACGAAAGUCAGAGGUUCGAAGACGAUCAGAUACCGUCCUAGUUUUGACAGCAAACGAUGCUACCACGGGAUCAGUCCGGAAAGAUCCAGGUUGGUCCCCCCGGGAAACCUAAAGUGUUCUAGUUCCGGGGGGAGUAUGGUCGCAAGGCUGAAACUUAAAGGAAUUGACGGAAGGGCACCACCAGGAGUGGAGCCUGCGGCUUAAUUUGACUCAACACGGGACAACUCACCAGGUCCAGUCACUGAAAGGAUUGACAGACUGAGAGAUCUUACAUGAUACAGUGAAUGGUGGUGCAUGGCCGUUCUUAGUUGGUGAGUGAUCUGUCAGGUCUAUUCCGGUAACGAGCGAGACCACGGUCCCUAUUUGAUUGAGGUGCUAUCUUGGAAAGUUUCGGCUAACUGAGUUAACGUUUGUGCUUUAUCAUAGAGAGACUACCGGAAGUUAAAGCCGAGGGAAGCGCGGCAAUAACAGGUCUGUGAUGCCCUUCGAUGUCCUGGGCUGCACGCGCGCUACAAUGGCAGUGACAAAGAGUAUACUUGCUCUGAGAGGAGUGAGAAAUCUUGGAAAUCACUGUCGUAAUUGGGAUUGAGCCUUGUAAUUAUUGCUCAUAAAAGAGGAAUUCCUCGUAAGCGUGAGUCACCAGCUCAUGUUGAAUACGUCUCUGCCCUUUGUACACACCGCCCGUCGCUACUACUGACGAAUGUUGUUUCGAGCGGGUAGGAUCGGACAACUUGGUUACACAAGUAGCCGAGAGUAUCCGCUAGGAAAGGCACUUGAAAGAAGUAAAAGUCGUAACAAGGUUUCCGUAGA